CCUAAGGCGAGGCCGAAAGGCGUAGUCGAUGGGAAACAGGUUAAUAUUCCUGUACUUGGUGUUACUGCGAAGGGGGGACGGAGAAGGCUAUGUUGGCCGGGCGACGGUUGUCCCGGUUUAAGCGUGUAGGCUGGUUUUCCAGGCAAAUCCGGAAAAUCAAGGCUGAGGCGUGAUGACGAGGCACUACGGUGCUGAAGCAACAAAUGCCCUGCUUCCAGGAAAAGCCUCUAAGCAUCAGGUAACAUCAAAUCGUACCCCAAACCGACACAGGUGGUCAGGUAGAGAAUACCAAGGCGCUUGAGAGAACUCGGGUGAAGGAACUAGGCAAAAUGGUGCCGUAACUUCGGGAGAAGGCACGCUGAUAUGUAGGUGA
rnacentral:rRNA from 1 species